rnacentral:rRNA from 1 species
GGCCUCGGCCCGAGUUGUAAUUUGCAGAGGAUGCUUCUGGCGCGGUGCCUUCCGAGUUCCCUGGAACGGGACGCCACAGAGGGUGAGAGCCCCGUAUGGUCGGACACCAAGCCUGUGUGAAGCUCCUUCGACGAGUCGAGUAGUUUGGGAAUGCUGCUCUAAAUGGGAGGUAAAUCUCUUCUAAAGCUAAAUACCGGCCAGAGACCGAUAGCGCACAAGUAGAGUGAUCGAAAGAUGAAAAGCACCUUGAAAAGGGGGUUAAAUAGUACGUGAAAUUGUUGAAAGGGAAGCACUUGUGACCAGACUUGGGCCGGGCGGCUCAUCAGGGGUUCUCCCCUGUGCACUCCGCCCGGCACAGGCCAGCAUCGGUUCUCGUGGGGGGAUAAGACCGUCAGGAACGUAGCACCCUCCGGGGUGUGUUAUAGCCUGGCGGACGAUACCCCCGUGGGGACCGAGGUUCGCGCUCCGCAAGGAUGCUGGCGUAAUGGUCACCAGUGACCCGUCUUGAAACACGGACCAAGGAGUCGUCCAUUAGAGCGAGCGUUUGGGUGUAAAACCCGCACGCGUAAUGAAAGUGAACGCAGGUGAGAGCUUCGGCGCAUCAUCGACCGAUCCUGAUGUUCUCGGAAGGAUUUGAGUAAGAGUUUUAACGGACGGACCCGAAAGACAGUGAACUAUGCUUGUAUAGGGUGAAGCCAGAGGAAACUCUGGUGGAGGCUCGCAGCGGUUCUGACGUGCAAAUCGAUCGUCAAAUAUGAGCAUGGGGGCGAAAGACUAAUCGAACUGUCUAGUAGCUGGUUACCGCCGAAGUUUCCCUCAGGAUAGCAGUGUUGAUCUUCAGUUUUAUGAGGUAAAGCGAAUGAUUAGGGACUCGGGGGCGCUAUAUAGCCUUCAUCCAUUCUCAAACUUUAAAUAUGUAAGAAGCCCUUGUUACUUAGUUGAACGUGGGCAUUCGAAUGUACCAACACUAGUGGGCCAUUUUUGGUAAGCAGAACUGGCGAUGCGGGAUGAACCGAACGCGGGGUUAAGGCGCCAGAGUGUACGCUCAUCAGACACCACAAAAGGCGUUAGUACAUCUUGACAGCAGGACGGUGGCCAUGGAAGUCGGAAUCCGCUAAGGACUGUGUAACAACUCACCUGCCGAAUGUACUAGCCCUGAAAAUGGAUGGCGCUCAAGCGUACCGCCCAUACCCCGCCCCCAGGGUAGAAACGAUGCCCUGGGGAGUAGGCGGCCGUGGGGG